rnacentral:tRNA from 1 species
AAACCACUCCUGACGAUCAUAUUGUUCCCCCCGGCAUCGCAUUCACCAGACCUGAAACCGCCUUCUGCGCCGCCUCUGCGCUUUG